rnacentral:snRNA from 1 species
GCCGGGGGACGGACUGGGAA